GUGUUCACUUUGGCAGCACAUAUAUUAAAAUUGGAAUGAUAUAGAGAUUAGCAUGGCCCCUGCCCAAGGAUGAUGCACAAAUCUGUGAAGCAUUCCAUAUUUUU
ensembl:snRNA U6 U6 spliceosomal RNA